rnacentral:rRNA from 1 species
UACGUAGGGGGCGAGCGUUGUCCGAAGUUACUGGGCGUAAAGCGCGCGUAGGCGGGCUAUUAAGUUGGAUGUGAAAUCUCCACGGCUCAACCGGGAAACUGCAUCCAAAACUGUUAGCCUUGAGGUAUGGAGAGGGAAGUGGAAUUCCUGGUGUAGCGGUGAAAUGCGUAGAUAUCAGGAGGAACACCCGUGGCGAAGGCGGCUUCCUGGCCAUAUCCUGACGCUGAGGUGCGAAAGCCAGGGGAGCGAA